rnacentral:rRNA from 1 species
CAAUAGCGUAUAUUAAAGUUGUUGCAGUUAAAAAGCUCGUAGUUGGAUUUGUGGUGUACUUCGGCGGCCUUUCACUAUGUGAUGGAGCUUGCUGAAGUCGCCAUCCUUGGGUGGAUCCUGUGUGGCAUUCAGUUGUCGUGCAGGGGAUGCCCAUCGUUUACUGUGAAAAAAUUAGAGUGUUCAAAGCAGGCUUAUGCCGUUGAAUAUAUUAGCAUGGAAUAAUAAGAUAGGACCUUGGUACUAUUUUGUUGGUUUGCGCACCAAGGUAAUGAUUAAUAGGGACAGUUGGGGGUAUUCGUAUUUCAUUGUCAGAGGUGAAAUUCUUGGAUUUUUGAAAGACGAACUACUGCGAAAGCAUUUACCAAGGAUGUUUNCAUUAA